AGACAGAGCCUCUGCCCUGAGACUCAGAGAAACGCUCUCCUGUGCCUCCCUCCGCUCAGUAUAGAUUUCUAGACCCUGAUCAUUGCUUAAGAGAUAUUCACCGGGGAGGUCCUACGUCUCUGCAAUUUGUGUAUGAAUAACAGAAUAAUUUCCCUCUUUUGUUUCGCCUUUCCUGUUCCUGAAUCUAAAUAAAGAUGGCUUUUUAGUAUUAAAAGUGGAAGAAAAUUACAGGUAAUUAUCUUUGACGGUAAAAACGCUGUAAUCAGCGGGCUACAUGAAAAAUUACUCUAAUUAUGGCUGCAUUUAAGAGAAUGGAAAAAAACCUUCUUGUGGAUAAAAACCUUAAAUUGUCCCCAAUGUCUGCUUCAAAUUGGAUGGCACUGCAGCUGGAGGCUUUGUUCAGAAUUGAUCCUGGGGAGCUACGAACCCAAAGUUUCACAGUAGGAAGGGGGAAAAAAGAAAAGAAAACAUUUUUCCUAAUGUAACAAUGCGAAUGCUAGAAAAUGACAAGACUGAUCGGUUUUAAACCAUUCUGAAGACUGACUGAGCGUGGAAGUUGCUCAACAAAAAAGGGAACGGGGAUAUUCAGAACCAGAGAGAAACCUACGCCCAGAAGAACAUGUCCCUGGAUUGCUUUCCCACUGCUGUGGAGUGUCUUGAACACUGGUCCCUGGACACCAACUUCAAGAAGACUUCAUGGAUGGCUGUCCAGUCUUAUGAGCCACAGUUUCCCCUCUACAUUUUCUUCACUCCAGCGAGGCUCUUAUCAGGGUCAGAUCAGAGAUGAACCAGCUGGACGACAGAUUGGAGCGCUGACCUCUUAGAGUGCUAACAGUGAACAGUGUGGGGUCAGAUCUAUAGAAAGAUAAUAAUAAGAAAACACCCUAUAUGCAAGGGAGAGGGAUGGUUCAUAAUUUCUUAAAGAUUGAAAUCAAGGAACAAUCAAAAUAUAGAAGAAUGUGGACGUGUUUUGCUGCAGGACUUCUGUUUUGUCCCCAUUGGAAUAUGUAUUAUGGUAUUCCUGUUGGAUCAGGACUCAGGGGCAAGGCUAAGCAUUCCAGUGGUCCUCCUACUUAGCUCUUGUCCUUUCGUAAGAAACACCAACUCAUUAGUCUCUAUAUUACUUCUCUGUACUGUAGAUCUGCAUUCUUGAUCUGAGAGAUAUUGGCAAUGACACUCUUGUAUGAUAAAGCUCAAUGAUAAGAGUACUUCAAACCCCCUUGAACUUUUUGUUUAUACAUCAAGUGGUGACAUUGUGUAUUGAGCUAAUUAGAUCAAUGGAGUCACAGGGUGAUACUGAACUCUUUUAAAAUAUUUGGCUGAAACAUGACAUUGUAGUUAUUUGUAGAAGAGAACAUUAUGGAAUAUGAAAAACAUCACAGAACACAGAACUAGCAGCAGAAACUAGCAGCAGGUAGACAUUUUUCCUUUUCCAUAGAGCUUUCAACCAAAUGUCUCUGUAGAAAAUAGUGGCUAUCGUGUAUAUAUAUAGCCACAUAGAUGUCCUUGAGUGUACCCUGUAGUCAGUGGGAGAGUUCCUACUGCCACAGUCAUGGCCAUGGCUAUGUUCUCUAAGCCUACAUUUUAUAAACACUCUGUGAAUCUUGACUACUUUUCUUUAGCAAGCAUUGCAAAGUCCUGGGAUGUCAGAGAAGUGCCUGGGGUUGGCAGGGUUUCUAGAGAGGAAAUUGUUAAAUGAUUUGAACCAGAAAACAAACAGGGGAUGGGGUUCAGAACCAACAAUUACCUCUAUUCUAUGUAGGAAACCACAACAUGAAAUAUGCUGGGCAUGGAAACUUUGAUACCUUGGUUUUUCAUUCUUUUUAAAAAUUAAUACUAAAGAGCUAUGCGACUGUAGGCAAGCCAUUUCCCAUCCCCUGUGAAUAUCUCCCAGAUGACUUUAAAUCCCUUCUAGUUCUGAAAGGCUUUUAACAUCAGGGCCCAGGCUCCAGUGGCCAGUUUCAAAAUACCCUCCCUUUUGAUGUUAGGUUACAUAAACAUUGUUCUUUUUUAGGGAGGGUCUCUUUUAUCAACUUUUAAAAACACACAUCAGGUUCUCUGGUAUUAAAAAGAUGCCAUCUCUGAGUCCCCUACUAUCUGUGCUGCCUGCCUUUCCUCCUGUUCUUUCCUUAUUCCCAUCCCUAUUGAACUUGUGCUAUGCAGUAUGCAUCAGGUAUGUGUUAGCUUUGGGGAUACAUGAUAGAUAAACUGGACACACAGGGUCUUCCCAUUCUCUUCUGGAAUUUUCUUUGGAGGGAGCCUCUUGUAUCUAGACAGACCGUGCUGUGGUACCCCAGAGGUAACCACCUACAGGCUUCACUCUGCCUAAGCAAUUUUGCUGUGCACUAAGAUACACAUUCAAGUAACUUUAGAUUACCACAAUAACUUUCUCCAGGUAUGAGGAAAAGAGAUAAUUUACUUCUGAGAUGUGUAUAGGAUAGCCCUCCAUCCUGGGAAGAACAGUGACUACUCCCUGCAUCCCGACCUUGCCCAGGGAAAGCUAAUGUUUCUCUGUGUUAUCCCUGUGACUUGCCACUUCUUUAAAAAGGAAUGGGCAAACAAUAAACAGACAAAAAUGUUGUCUGACCUCAUUGGAAAUCCUUUUAAGAAUUAAUCCUUUCUAUCUCCUUCAUUAUCAACAAAUCUAUUGAAUACUUAUCUCUGAGUCCAGGGCAUAUUUUAUAAUACAUAAAACAAUGGAAUUUCAAAAUUGGAGCACUGACAUACAAUAUUGGUUUUGAGUAUUUUUAUUAUAGGGAAUGACUUUAGACAUUGCAAUUUAUGACUUAACUGAUAAAAUGGAUGACUCUUGACUUUCAAUUUUCAUUUUCAGUUCAGUCGAGGAAUAGCUUCCUCCAGGUAAUGUCUAUACUUUCCUAUGACUAAGGGCUCUAACUAUCUCUGUUGCUUUUCUUUAUGUAGGCAUAUGUUAGUAUUUAUUUUCUAUAUGACAAAUGUAUUAAAGAAAGCAUGAAAUUAAUGAGAUAAACUUUUCAGAUAGGAGUUUAGAAAAUCAAGGGGCCAAGAUAAAUAAAUGAAAAAUCAACUUAAAUAAUUAACAUAUUCCAGAUAUAUUGGAAUAAAUGUUUAUUGUACCCUUUUGGUUUUGUCUUGGGUUAUUUUUUUCUUAUCUCACUGAUUUUUUUUUCUUUCCUUUUUAGCUUUUUUGUCUUUUUUGAUUUUUGUUGUUGCGUUUCUCCUUUUUUUUUUUCUUGUUGAUGUUGUUUGUUUGUUUGUUUGUUUGUUUUUUGAGAAAGAACAGAAGGUUGGUUGGAUAGGGAGGUGGGGAAGAUCUAUCUGGAUGGAGUUGGGAGGAGGGAAAAUACACGAUCAAAAUAUAUUUUGUGAUGGGCAGGGCAUAGUGGUACAUGUCUUUAAUCUCAGCACUCUGGAGGCAGAGGCAGGUGGAUCUCUAUGAGAUGGAGGCUAGCCUGAUAUACAAAGUGAGACCAGAAC
rnacentral:lncRNA from 1 species